UACGUAGGGGGGCGAGCGUUGUCCGGAAUCAUUGGGCGUAAAGAGCUCGUAGGCGGCUCAGUAAGUCGGGUGUGAAACCCCCAGGCUCAACCUGGGGACGCCACCCGAUACUGCUGUGGCUAGAGUCCAGUAGGGGAGUGUGGAAUUCCCGGUGUAGCGGUGAAAUGCGCAGAUAUCGGGAGGAACACCAGCGGCGAAGGCGGCACUCUGGGCUGGAACUGACGCUGAGGAGCGAAAGCGUGGGUAGCAAACAGG
rnacentral:rRNA from 1 species